GACGAACGCUGGCGGCGUGCUUAACACAUGCAAGUCGAACGGAAAGGCCCUGCUUUUGUGGGGUGCUCGAGUGGCGAACGGGUGAGUAACACGUGAGUAACCUGCCCUUGACUUUGGGAUAACUUCAGGAAACUGGGGCUAAUACCGGAUAGGAGCUCCUGCUGCAUGGUGGGGGUUGGAAAGUUUCGGCGGUUGGGGAUGGACUCGCGGCUUAUCAGCUUGUUGGUGGGGUAGUGGCUUACCAAGGCUUUGACGGGUAGCCGGCCUGAGAGGGUGACCGGCCACAUGGGUACUGAGGUACGGCCCAGACUCCUACGGGAGGCAGCAGUGGGGAAUAUUGCACAAUGGGCGGAAGCCUGAUGCAGCAACGCCGCGUGCGGGAUGACGGCCUUCGGGUUGUAAACCGCUUUCGCCUGUGACGAAGCGUGAGUGACGGUAAUGGGUAAAGAAGCACCGGCUAACUACGUG
rnacentral:rRNA from 1 species